rnacentral:rRNA from 1 species
GACGAACGCUGGCGGCGUGCUUAACACAUGCAAGUCGAACGGUGAAGCGCCUUCCUUUUUGGUGGGUGUGGAUGAGUGGCGAACGGGUGAGUAACACGUGAGUAACCUGCCCCCUUCUUCUGGAUAACCGCAUGAAAGUGUGGCUAAUACGGGAUAUUCUGGGUCUGUCGCAUGAUGGGUCUGGGAAAGAUAUUGUUUCGGUGGGGGAUGGGCUCGCGGCCUAUCAGCUUGUUGGUGGGGUGAUGGCCUACCAAGGCGGUGACGGGUAGCCGGCCUGAGAGGAUGGACGGUAACGCAGGGGCUGAGAGACGGACAAGACUCCUACGGGAGGCAGCAGUGGGGAUUAGUGCACAAUGGGAGGAAGGCUGAUGCAGCGACGCCGCGUGAGGGAUGGAGGCCUUCGGGUUGUGAACCUCUUUCGCCAGUGAAGCAGGCCUGCCUCGUUUGUGGGUGGGUUGACGGUAGCUGGAUAAGAAGCGCCGGCUAACUACGUG